GACGAACGCUGGCGGCGUGCUUAAUACAUGCAAGUCGAACGGAAAGGCCCUGCUUGCAGGGUACUCGAGUGGCGAACGGGUGAGUAACACGUGGGUGAUCUGCCCUGCACUUCGGGAUAAGCUUGGGAAACUGGGUCUAAUACCGGAUAGGAACCAUCUUUAGUGUGGUGGUUGGAAAGUUUUUUCGGUGUAGGAUGAGCUCGCGGCCUAUCAGCUUGUUGGUGGGGUAAUGGCCUACCAAGGCGGCGACGGGUAGCCGGCCUGAGAGGGUGUACGGCCACAUUGGGACUGAGAUACGGCCCAGACUCCUACGGGAGGCAGCAGUGGGGAAUAUUGCACAAUGGGCGCAAGCCUGAUGCAGCGACGCCGCGUGGGGGAUGAAGGCCUUCGGGUUGUAAACUCCUUUCGCUAGGGACGAAGCUUUGUUGUGACGGUACCUAGAUAAGAAGCACCGGCUAACUACGUG
rnacentral:rRNA from 1 species